CGGGUGUGCACCGGCUGUAUUAAUUUACUGGCCGAGUAAACAUUCACGGAGAGUUUGAUCCUGGCUCAGGACGAACGCUGGCGGCGUGCUUAACACAUGCAAGUCGAACGAUGAACCACUUCGGUGGGGAUUAGUGGCGAACGGGUGAGUAACACGUGGGCAAUCUGCCCUUCACUCUGGGACAAGCCCUGGAAACGGGGUCUAAUACCGGAUAACACUUCCGUUCUCCUGGACGGGGGUUAAAAGCUCCGGCGGUGAAGGAUGAGCCCGCGGCCUAUCAGCUUGUUGGUGAGGUAAUGGCUCACCAAGGCGACGACGGGUAGCCGGCCUGAGAGGGCGACCGGCCACACUGGGACUGAGACACGGCCCAGACUCCUACGGGAGGCAGCAGUGGGGAAUAUUGCACAAUGGGCGAAAGCCUGAUGCAGCGACGCCGCGUGAGGGAUGACGGCCUUCGGGUUGUAAACCUCUUUCAGCAGGGAAGAAGCGAAAGUGACGGUACCUGCAGAAGAAGCGCCGGCUAACUACGUGCCAGCAGCCGCGGUAAUACGUAGGGCGCAAGCGUUGUCCGGAAUUAUUGGGCGUAAAGAGCUCGUAGGCGGCUUGUCACGUCGGGUGUGAAAGCCCGGGGCUUAACCCCGGGUCUGCAUUCGAUACGGGCUAGCUAGAGUGUGGUAGGGGAGAUCGGAAUUCCUGGUGUAGCGGUGAAAUGCGCAGAUAUCAGGAGGAACACCGGUGGCGAAGGCGGAUCUCUGGGCCAUUACUGACGCUGAGGAGCGAAAGCGUGGGGAGCGAACAGGAUUAGAUACCCUGGUAGUCCACGCCGUAAACGGUGGGAACUAGGUGUUGGCGACAUUCCACGUCGUCGGUGCCGCAGCUAACGCAUUAAGUUCCCCGCCUGGGGAGUACGGCCGCAAGGCUAAAACUCAAAGGAAUUUGACGGGGGCCCGCACAAGCAGCGGAGCAUGGUGGCUUAAUUUCGACGCAACGCGAAGAACCUUACCCAAGGCUUGACAUACACCGGAAACGUCUGGAGACAGGCGCC
rnacentral:rRNA from 1 species